rnacentral:rRNA from 1 species
AUUGAACGCUAGCGGGAUGCCUUACACAUGCAAGUCGAACGGCAGUGUGGACUUCGGUCUGGCGGCGAGUGGCGAACGGGUGAGUAAUGUAUCGGAACGUGCCCAGUAGCGGGGGAUAACUACUCGAAAGAGUAGCUAAUACCGCAUACGCCCUACGGGGGAAAGGGGGGGAUCGCAAGACCUCUCACUAUUGGAGCGGCCGAUAUCGGAUUAGCUAGUUGGUGAGGUAAAGGCUCACCAAGGCGACGAUCCGUAGCUGGUUUGAGAGGACGACCAGCCACACUGGGACUGAGACACGGCCCAGACUCCUACGGGAGGCAGCAGUGGGGAAUUUUGGACAAUGGGGGCAACCCUGAUCCAGCCAUUCCGCGUGUGCGAUGAAGGCCUUCGGGUUGUAAAGCACUUUUGGCAGGAAAGAAAUCGCACGGAUUAAUACUCUGUGUGGAUGACGGUACCUGCAGAAUAAGCACCGGCUAACUACGUGCCAGCCGCCGCGGUAA